CGCAAAAAUGGGAUAAAACUACCUGUCACUGCAUAAUCUCAGAAAAGCGUGUACUGUGUAUAUUUUGAUGGACACGAAUCUACAUAGCGCAGGUAUUGAAUCCCACAAGGUGUAAUUCUGCGGCUGUGUUGUUAUGAUCCCGUUCCAGGAGGAACUGGUCGCAGUGGCACACGCAAACAUAAAUAAAAAAUACCGUCUACUGGGUGGGAGUGUCCAAACUCCAGAAAUCGAGUUAACGCUUCCAGUCGAUUGGCCAUGUUUAUGAUAAACUAGUCGACCCGGCAGAUGUUGUGCUGCAAAGUAGGCGAAAAUGCGAAUUGGAAACUUCUGAUGCGAAAUCUUCAAAGAAUCUUAAUUUUAGUUUUUCUCGAUUUACUCAACCUUUCUCUUGAUUUUCAAAUGGAGAAAUAUCAUAUGGAUUAGAGAAAUCCAUCCACCAAUUUUUGUGUUAUG